rnacentral:rRNA from 1 species
GACGAACCGUGCAAACGUUAUUCGGAAUCACUGGGCGUAAAGGGUGCGUAGGCGGUCGGGUAAGUCUGACGUGAAAUCUUCAAGCUCAACUUGGAAACUGCGUCCGAUACUAUUCGGCUAGAGGAAUGGAGGGGAGACUGGAAUACUUGGUGUAGCAGUGAAAUGCGUAGAUAUCAAGUGGAACACCAGUGGCGAAGGCGAGUCUCUGGACAUUUCCUGACGCUGAGGCACGAAAGCCAGGGGAGCAAACGGG